GCCUAGUUAGCUCAGAGGGUAGCGCGUCUGCCUUGUAAGCGCUAGGUCGAGGGUUCGAUUCCCGCCCGGGGCG
rnacentral:tRNA from 1 species